GGCAGCGCCUCUUUUCAUCAUCUUCAACUCGUUUUUACGAGUUUUCUUUGGAGUAAAAAGAAAGAAAAAAAAACAAACAAACUCAAGAACUCUCCUCUCUAUGAAACUCACGGUUCUCUCUCUCGCGAUAUCUCUCUCACGGUUCUCUCUCCCUUUCGUGGUCUCUCAAUAAACAAACAUUGUGGUGGAAGUAAUGAAGGCGCGGCGGAGCUCACAGCGGCCAUGGAAGAAGCUUGAAGAACCCGGCUCACACUCUCGGUGAACGAGAACAACUCCUCUCACUCGCAAAUUAACAGGGAUAUGAGGGUGAAAUCGAAUUACCUGCGGCGAGGAGGCUUUCGCCGAUUUAUUGUUGAGGUGA